rnacentral:misc_RNA from 1 species
CAGUACAAUGGAGAUGCCCCAGGGCUGUCGCUGACCUUUGUGGGUCGUGCACGCCCAAAGUGCUCUCUCUCACAUCCAUCUCACCCCUUUGUGCAUCACCGCGUGGGCCCCCCUUAUUGGGAUCGGUUCACGUUUUUACACAGACACCAAUUUUUAAAAGCAUGUGUAGAAUGUCUUACUUUUUGCGAUCACACGCAAUCAAUA